GGAAUAUUGCGCAAUGGGCGAAAGCCUGACGCAGCGACGCCGCGUGAAGGAUGACGGUCUUCGGAUUGUAAACUUCUGUUAAGUGGGAAGAAAGACCAAUCUCUAAAAUAGAUUGGUUAUGACGGUACCACUAGAGAAAGCACCGUCUAACUACGUGCCAGCAGCCGCGGUACUACGAGGGGUGCAAACGUUAUUCGGAUUUACUGGGCGUAAAGGGUGUGUAGACAGAACACAAAGUUCGAUGUUAAAUUUUUCGGCUUAACCGAAAGCUUGCGAUGAAAACUAGUAUUCUUGAGGGUGAAAGAGAUAAGUGGAAUUCGCGGAGUAGCGGUAAAAUGCGUGGAUCUCGAGAGGAACACCGAUGGCGAAGGCAGCUUCUUGGUUCACUCCUGACGUUGAGACACGAAAGCGUGGGUAGCAAAC
rnacentral:rRNA from 1 species